rnacentral:rRNA from 1 species
GUGGCCUCACCUUAGACGAGAACACCUGCUGAGUUCAAUAAUAUAGUUAAGUGGAGGAAAAGAAACUUACAAGGAUUUCCCUAGUAGCGGCGAGCAAACUGGGAAGAGCCCAGCAUGAAAAUCAGGCAGUAGCAUCACCUGAAUUGUAGUUUGUAGAAGCAUCCUCAGUGGCAGACCUGGGCCAAGUCCCUUAGAAGGGGGUUCCUGAGAGGGUGAUAGCCCCAUCGAGCCAGGACCCUUCCACAUCACAACGCGUUGUCGAUGAGUCAGGUUGUUUGGGAAUGUAGCCUUAAUUGGGUGGUAAAUUCUGUCCAAGGCUAAAUACGAGUGAGAGACCGAUAGCGAACAAGUACCAUGAGGGAAAGAUGAAAAUGAAUUUGAAAAGAGAGUUAAAGAGUGCUUGAAACUACCGAGAGGGGAGCGGAUGGAGGUUGUCGAUGCAUCUCGAUCAGAUGUGGAAUGGCUUAGGCUAGUCUACCACUCGACUUGAAGUGCAAACCAACACGGGUUGUUGCAUCGUCACAAGCGUAGGUGGAUUACUACCUAUCAGUUUGUCAUUGCGAUGGUCGAGGAAUGAAGUGUGCGCUCUUGUGGUAGGCCGUGUGCACCUACAUGCUCGUGGUGUUGGUUGGCGGGCUUUCCAUGCAACUCGUAUUGAAACACGAACCAAGGAGUCUAACAUGUGUGUGAGUCGGUGGUUUUGAAAACCUUUGAGGUGCAAGGAAGCUGAUGGACGAGAUCCCCUCUCUUGGGGGAUACAUUGUCAAUUGACCUUGAGCUUAUGCAAAGGUUUUGAGUGCGAGCACACCUAUUGGGACCCGAAAGAUGGUGAACUAUGCCUAAGCAGGGUGAAGCCAGAGGAAACUCUGGUGGAGCCUCGUAGCAAUACUGAUGUGCAAAUCAUUCGUCUGACUUGGGUAUAGGGCCGAAAGGCUUAUCGAACCAUCUAGUAGCUAGUUUCCUCCGAAGUUUCCCUCUGGAUUGUUGGAGCUCAUGCGUGAGUUUUAUCAGGUAAAGAAAAUUAUUAGAGGCAUCGAGGGCAUAAUACCCUCUAACUAUUCUCAAACUUUAAAUAGGUAAGAGGGUGUGACUGCUCCAUUGAGCCAUGUUGUGGAAUCGAGAGCUCCAAGUGGGCCGUUUUUGGUAAGUAGAAUUGUCAAUGUGGGAUGAACCGAAAGUCAAGUUACGGUGCCAAAUUGCACGCUAACCUAGAUCCCACAAAGGGUGUUGGUUGAUUAAGACAGUAGGACGAUGGUCAUGGAAGUUGAAAUCUGCUAAGGAGUGUGUAACAACUCACCUGCCAAAUCAACUAGCCCUGAAAAUGGAUGGCGCUAAAGCACGCAACCUAUACUCGACCGUCAGAGCAAUUUUCUGGCUCCGACGAGUAGGAGGACAUGGGGAUCAUUGAGAAACCUUAGGCGUGAACUUGGGUGGAUCCGCCCCCAGUGCAGAUCUUGGUGGUAGUAGCAAAUAUUCAAAUGAGAACUUUGAAGAUUGAAGUUGGGAAAGGUUCCAUUUGAACAACACUUGGACAUGGGUUAGUCGAUCCUAAGAGAUGGGGAAGCCUUGUAUCAAGGGUUCACUCUGCAUGAGCAUCGAAAGGGAAUCGAGUUAAUAUUAUUGAACGAGGACAUGGUGGCGGGUGGCAACAUUAGGAAAUCUGGAGAUGUUGUUGAGGGCCCAGGGAAGAGUUAUCGUUUAUUUUUAAUAGCUUUCCCACACUGGGAUCUGUUCACGCAAAGAUAGGGUCCAAAAUCUGGAAAAUCACUACACAUCUUGUGAUGUCUGGUGCGCCCUUAACAUCCCUUGAAAAUAUGGAGGACUGAGUACCGUUCAUGCCUGGUCAUACUCAUAAUGGCAUCAGGUCUCUAAGGUGAACAAACUCUGGUCAAUAGAACAAUGUAGCUAAGGGAAGUCGGCAAAAUGGAUCUGUAAAUUUGGGAAAAGGAUUGGCUCUAAGGGUUGGGCCUAGGGGUCUGUGCCCUCAACUUGUGCACUAUCAGCAGUUUCCCCGAAUUGCUCUCAUAGUGAGGGCAGGCAGUCAUGUGCCGAUUCAGCUACGGGCAUAGAAUGCCCCCUGUUGGGGGCUUUUCCGAAGGUGGCGACUAGUGGACUCAGAAAUGGUAUCGAAAAAGGGAAUCUAACUGUUUAAUUAAAACAAAGCAUUGCAAUGGUCCCUGCAGAUGCUGACGCGAUGUGAUUUCUACCCAGUGCUUUGAAUGUCAAAGUGAAGAAAUUCAACCAAGCACGGGUAAAUGACGAGAGUAACUAUGACUCUUUUAAGGUAGCCAAAUGCUUCGUCAUCUAAUUAGUGAUGCACAUGAAUGGAUUAAUGAGAUUCCCACUGUCCCUAUCUACUAUCUAGUGAAACCACAACCAAGGGAAUGGGCUUGGUAGAAUCAGCAGGGAGCAAAGACCCUAUUGAGCUUGACUCUAGUCCGACUUUGUGAAAUGAUUUGAGAGGUGUAGAAUAAGUGGGAUCCGUUUUUGAUUCAAGUGAAAUACCACUACUUUUAACGUUAUUUUACCUAUUCCGUGGGGCAGAGAAGGGACAUUGCCCCUAUUUUUGGCCUUAAGGCACGUUUCAGUGGGUUGAUUUGAGUGGAAGGCAUUGUCAGGUGGGGAGUUUGGCUGGGGCGACACAUUUGUUAAAAGAUAAUGUAGGUGUCCUAAGAUGAGCUCAACGAGAACAACAAUAUUGUGUUGAACAAAAGGGUAAAAGCUCAUUUGAUUUUGAUUUUUAGUAUGAAUACAAAUCGUGAAAACGUGGCCUAUCGAAUCUUUAAAUUUUUGGAAUUUGAAGCUAGAUGUGUCAAAAAAGUUACCAUAGGGAUAACUAGCUUGUGGCAGCCAAGCGUUCAUAGCAACAUUUCUUUUUUAUCCUUCUAUGUCAAUUCUUCAUAUCAUUGUGAAGUAGAAUUCACCAAGUGUUGGAUUAUUCAGCCACCAAUAGGGAACAUGAGCUGGGUUUAGACCAUCGUGAGACAGGUUAGUUUUACCCUACUGAUGAACUGGACCACAAUAGUAAUUCAACUUAGUACGAGAGUAAUUGUUGAUUCACACAAUUGGUCAUUGCUAUUGGUUGAAAAGCCAGUGGCACGAAGCUACCAUGUGUCAGAUUAUGACUGAAUGCCUCUAAAUCAGAAUCCAUGCUAGAAGUGAUGCAUUUCACUCGUUGACUAUAUGUCGACCCGAAAUAGGGGUGUCUCUUUGUAACCCCCAGGGGCCCAUGUCAUUUGUAAACCGCGACCGUGAAGCAUCUCGGUUGGGGCAGCUUUGAAGCUCAAUUCCAAAUGGUCAUUGAGAAGAAUCCUUUGUCUACGACUUAAAUACACGAUGGGGUAUUGUAAGUGGCAGAGUGGCCUUGCUACCACGAUCUACUGAGAUUCAUCCUUUGGU